UCGACGCUUCACAUAUGUGAAGAGUGGCGAACGGGUGAGUAAUACAUAAGUAACCUGGCCUUUACAGGGGGAUAACUGUUGGAAACGAUAGCUAAGACCGCAUAGGUGUCAUAACCGCAUGGAGAUGAUAUGAAAUAUGCUACGGCAUAGGUAGAGGAUGGACUUAUGGCGCAUUAGCUAGUUGGAGGGGUAACGGCCCACCAAGGCGACGAUGCGUAGCCGACCUGAGAGGGUGACCGGCCACACUGGGACUGAGACACGGCCCAGACUCCUACGGGAGGCAGCAGUAGGGAAUUUUCGGCAAUGGGGGAAACCCUGACCGAGCAACGCCGCGUGAAGGAAGAAGUAAUUCGUUAUGUAAACUUCUGUCAUAGAGGAAGAACGGUGCGUGUAGGGAAUGACAUGCAAGUGACGGUACUCUAUAAGAAAGCCACGGCUAACUACGUGCCAGCAGCCGCGGUAAUACGUAGGUGGCGAGCGUUAUCCGGAAUUAUUGGGCGUAAAGAGGGAGCAGGCGGCACUAAGGGUCUGUGGUGAAAGAUCGAAGCUUAACUUCGGUAAGCCAUGGAAACCGUAGAGCUAGAGUGUGUGAGAGGAUCGUGGAAUUCCAUGUGUAGCGGUGAAAUGCGUAGAUAUAUGGAGGAACACCAGUGGCGAAGGCGACGAUCUGGCGCAUAACUGACGCUCAGUCCCGAAAGCGUGGGGAGCAAAUAGGAUUAGAUACCCUAGUAGUCCACGCCGUANACGAUGAGUACUAAGUGUUGGNAGUCAAAUCUC
rnacentral:rRNA from 1 species